AGAAAGAGAGAGAGUAAGAGAAAGAGAGUGCACUUUAACAAGUUGACAUCAUAUAGUGUUACCUCCUAAACUGGAACAGAAGUCGAAGAAUAUUGGGAGCCGAAAGUACUUUAUUCCUUCCUUUUCAAGCAUUACUUCCAAGAGGCACGACGUUUCGAAAUUUUUCAUGUAACUUCAAAUCUCCACAACAAGCAAUCGGUAAUAAUAAUAAUAUUAAUAAUAAUAAUAAUAAUAGUAAUAAUAAUAAUAAUAAUAAUAAUAAUAAUAAUAACAAUAGCAAUAACAAUAAUAGUUUCUAUAACAGAAAUAAGAGAAAUAAAUAGUGCUAGUAGCAAAUAAGUAUGGGAGGGAAUCUAUAUUUGACACUUGUUGCAUGUUUGCUUUGAGAACAGUCAUAGUCACCAACAACAGUCG